rnacentral:rRNA from 1 species
CCUAAGGGGGGCUGCAGUGGGGAAUAUUGGACAAUGGGCGAAAGCCUGAUCCAGCCAUGCCGCGUGUGUGAAGAAGGCCUUCGGGUUGUAAAGCACUUUCAGUGGGGAAGAAAGCCUUGGGGCUAAUACCCUCGAGGAAGGACAUCACCCACAGAAGAAGCACCGGCUAACUCCGUGCCAGCAGCCGCGGUAAUACGGAGGGUGCGAGCGUUAAUCGGAAUUACUGGGCGUAAAGCGCGCGUAGGCGGUCUGAUAAGCCGGUUGUGAAAGCCCCGGGCUCAACCUGGGAACGGCAUCCGGAACUGUCAGGCUAGAGUGCAGGAGAGGAAGGUAGAAUUCCCGGUGUAGCGGUGAAAUGCGUAGAGAUCGGGAGGAAUACCAGUGGCGAAGGCGGCCUUCUGGACUGACACUGACGCUGAGGUGCGAAAGCGUGGGUAGCAAACAGGAUUAGAUACCCCGGUAGUC